CAGUCGCCGCGGGAAUACAGAGGGUGCAAGCGUUAAUCGGAAUUACUGGGCGUAAAGCGCGCGUAGGUGGUUUGUUAAGUUGGAUGUGAAAGCCCCGGGCUCAACCUGGGAACUGCAUCCAAAACUGGCAAGCUAGAGUAUGGUAGAGGGUGGUGGAAUUUCCUGUGUAGCGGUGAAAUGCGUAGAUAUAGGAAGGAACACCAGUGGCGAAGGCGACCACCUGGACUGAUACUGACACUGAGGUGCGAAAGCGUGGGGAGCAAACAGGAUUAGAUACCCCAGUAGUCCCUGUCUCUUAUAC
rnacentral:rRNA from 1 species